UCUCAGGCUCCUGCCUACGGUCCUCUGGCCAUUCGUCGGAGUAAGCCGGUGAGAACCCGGCACGGUCGCGCCACUGUAUGCGGGCACCCACCCGCAAGUCAGACACUCCGGCGGCCACGAGAAGCC
rnacentral:ncRNA from 2 species